rnacentral:tRNA from 1 species
GCCUUCAUGGUGUAGCGGUCAGCAUGCUCGGCUCGUAUUCGAGAGUACGUGGUUCGAGUCUCGGUGAGGGCC